rfam:Cavia porcellus supercont2_37 genomic scaffold, whole genome shotgun sequence.
UGGCGCCCAACGUGGGGCUCCUGGCACGAAGGGCUCAACGAGGGAGCCGUCCUGAGACACGUGCAUAAAAGUGAAACUAAAAGUUUUGUGACCAACGCUAUGUGAGAGCCUGCCACACUACUAGAGUCAUGGUAAGUGGAUGGUGAUCCUUUCCCUUUUUUUCUGGCAUAGGUCAGGAAUUAGGUGACCAUAAACGCUUUGUAUCAAGUUUAAGUAAAGCUUUAAAGACAAGAGGGAUGAAGGCUAAAAAAAGAUUUAUUGCAGUGUUUUCAAUUUAUUCAUAAGGUUUGCCCUU